rnacentral:piRNA from 1 species
UGAUGGAGCCGCUAUUUGGCAGUUGCAGGU